rnacentral:rRNA from 1 species
UGGGGAAUAUUGGACAAUGGGCGCAAGCCUGAUCCAGCAAUGCCGCGUGUGUGAAGAAGGCCUUCGGGUUGUAAAGCACUUUUAUCAGGAGCGAAACGCUGUCGGCUAAUACCCGGCGGAACUGACGGUACCUGAGGAAUAAGCACCGGCUAACUUCGUGCCAGCAGCCGCGGUAAUACGAAGGGUGCAAGCGUUAAUCGGAAUUACUGGGCGUAAAGCGUGCGUAGGCGGUUUCUUAAGUCUGCUGUGAAAUCCCCGGGCUCAACCUGGGAAUGGCAGUGGAUACUGGGAGGCUAGAGUGUGUCAGAGGGUGGUGGAAUUCCCGGUGUAGCGGUGAAAUGCGUAGAGAUCGGGAGGAACAUCAGUGGCGAAGGCGGCCACCUGGGACAACACUGACGCUGAGGCACGAAAGCGUGGGGAGCAAACAGGAUUAGAUACCCUGGUAGUCCACGCCCUAAACGAUGCGAACUGGAUGUUGGUCUCAAUUCGGAGAUCAGUGUCGAAGCUAACGCGUUAAGUUCGCCGCCUGGGGAGUACGGUCGCAAGAC